AACGAACGCUGGCGGCAGGCCUAACACAUGCAAGUCGAGCGAACCCUUCGGGGUUAGCGGCGGACGGGUUAGUAACGCGUGGGAAUCUGCCUUCUAGUGGGGGAUAGCCCGGAGAAAUCCGGAUUAAUACCGCAUACGCCCUACGGGGAAGGACCGGGAGUCUUCGGACCUGGCGCUAGUAGAUGAGCCCGCGUGAGAUUAGCUUGUUGGUGGGGUAAGUGGCCUACCAAGGCAACGAUCUCUAGCUGGUCUGAGAGGACGAUCAGCCACACUGGGACUGAGACACGGCCCAGACUCCUACGGGAGGCAGCAGUGGGGAAUAUUGGACAAUGGGCGAAAGCCUGAUCCAGCAAUGCCGCGUGUGUGAAGAAGGCCUGAGGGUUGUAAAGCACUUUCAAUCGUGAAGAAAAGUUAGCAGGCUAAUACCCUGUGACCUUGACGUUAACGAUACAAG
rnacentral:rRNA from 1 species